CCUACGGGUUGCACCAGUGGGGAAUAUUGCACAAUGGGCGCAAGCCUGAUGCAGCCAUGCCGCGUGUGUGAAGAAGGCCUUCGGGUUGUAAAGCACUUUCAGCGGGGAGGAAGGCGGUGAGGUUAAUAACCUCAUCGAUUGACGUUACCCGCAGAAGAAGCACCGGCUAACUCCGUGCCAGCAGCCGCGGUAAUACGGAGGGUGCAAGCGUUAAUCGGAAUUACUGGGCGUAAAGCGCACGCAGGCGGUCUGUCAAGUCGGAUGUGAAAUCCCCGGGCUCAACCUGGGAACUGCAUUCGAAACUGGCAGGCUAGAGUCUUGUAGAGGGGGGUAGAAUUCCAGGUGUAGCGGUGAAAUGCGUAAAGAUCUGGAGGAAUACCGGUGGCGAAGGCGGCCCCCUGGACAAAGACUGACGCUCAGGUGCGAAAGCGUGGGGAGCAAACAGGAUUAGAUACCCUCGUAGUC
rnacentral:rRNA from 1 species